ACCAUGUUUCAUGUUUUUGUUUGUUGGUACUUGAUAAAAAAAAAAAGUGAAGAGGGAGGUUGGUGUGUGUGACCAAUCAUGCACAUUUACUAGUAAUCAAAGAAAAUUUCUUGCAAUGGAAAUUGAACCUAAUGCCAGCUGAGCCAAACCCUUUGGCAUAGCAUACUUGAGGUACGGCAAGUGGAGAUUCUAAGACACAAGAUGACAAGAAUUUCUUUUUCAAAUAAUUUAGUGCAGGCUUAGUAGAGUCAGGGGUGAACAUUUGGUGAUUCAGUGUCACGGGAAACACAUUCUGCAAACUCAUGAGCACAAACCUCAAAAGAUAAUUGACAACUAUGGGAGUUCCCCUACGAAGGUGUGGCUUAGAUACAUUUUCAUGCCAUGAAUUGCUUUGCUCACCCUAGCAACCUUUGUUGGAGUUGUUUUAGCUUCUUUCUAGGACUAUCAUUUCCAACAUUAGCAUUGGCUAGGAUGAACCUUCCAUCCUGUCUUUUACCAUCCAUUGACCUCACAUAUGUUGAUGACAAUUACUUGAAAAUUUCAUCCAAGUCUUUGUGGGAUGCCUGGGCUUCAUUUAGGAGUGACAGAAGCAAAUACAAUAAGGUUCACAAAUUAAAUGACACAAAGGUAUGGUUUUAUGGAGUUUUAAUAUUUCAUCAUAUCUCAUUAAUUUUUCACUUCAUCUUUUUGUGUAGUACCAUUUUUAUGAAUUUCUGAAUAAAGUAGACUUAUUGCAAUCAGUCCCCAAGUUGUUCCUACAAAUCCUCGAGGGGCUGAAAGGCUUCCCCCAAAUAUUUUGGAAUCUGAAUCAGAUUUCUAUCUUCAUCGGUUAUGGGGCAUGCCCCCUCAGGUGUGCAUUUUCACUGCACCUUAAUGUAAAACAUGCAUUUGAAUAAAACAUUGUUUUUCACCGUAAAGAAAACUUAGUUAACUGCUAAGUGUUCACUAGUGUCAAAGUAUCUAACCCUUUACUUAGAAGGUGAAUUACAUCCGUUUUGGUGGAGUGAAAAACUCCAUUACAAAAAAUAACAAAUAUUUUUUGUAGUGCAACAAGCAAAAUAACUAAUGAAACUUCCUCUGGUUGUUCCAGUAAGAUUGAAGUUCACAUGUGAAU